GCAAGUGUGUAAGGGCAUACGGUGGAUGUCUUGGCACCAGGAGCCGAUGAAGGACGUGGGAGGCUGCGAUAAGCCUCGGGGAGCUGUCAACCGAGCUGUGAUCCGAGGAUGUCCGAAUGGGGAAACCCGGCACCAGUCAUGUGGUGUCACCCGCACCUGAAUGUAUAGGGUGUGUGGAGGGAACGCGGGGAAGUGAAACAUCUCAGUACCCGUAGGAAGAGAAAACAACAUGUGAUUCCGUGAGUAGUGGCGAGCGAAAGCGGAUGAGGCUAAACCGUGCGCGUGUGAUACCCGGCAGGGGUUGCGUGUGCGGGGUCGUGGGACCUGUCGAUCAGUUCUGCCGGGCUGAUAGAGAGUCAGAAAGCAUCGUGGUUAGUCGAACGUCUCUGGAAUGGGCGACCGUAGUGGGUGAGAGUCCCGUAGGCGAAAACCUGAUGUCUCUCGAUGGUGUUCCCGAGUAGCAGCGGGCUCGUGGAAUCUGCUGUGAAUUUGCCGGGACCACCCGGUAAGCCUGAAUACUCCCUGGUGACCGAUAGCGGACUAGUACCGUGAGGGAAAGAUGAAAAGUACCCCGGGAGGGGAGUGAAAGAGUACCUGAAACCGUGUGCCUACAAGCCGUCAGAGCCGUGAUGGGUGAUGGCGUGCCUUUUGAAGAAUGAGCCUGCGAGUCAGUGCUGCGUGGCGAGGUUAACCCGUGUGGGGGAGCCGUAGCGAAAGCGAGUCCGAAGAGGGCGGUUGAGUCGCGUGGUCUGGACCCGAAGCGGGGUGAUCUACCCAUGGCCAGGGUGAAGCAGCAGUAAGAUGUUGUGGAGGCCCGAACCCACCAGGGUUGAAAACCUGGGGGAUGAGCUGUGGGUAGGGGUGAAAGGCCAAUCAAACUCCGUGAUAGCUGGUUCUCCCCGAAAUGCAUUUAGGUGCAGCGUCAUGUGUUUCACGCCGGGGGUAGAGCACUGGAUGGUCUAGGGGGCCUACAAGCUUACCGAAAUCAGCCAAACUCCGAAUACCGGUGUGUGAGAGCGUGGCAGUGAGACUGCGGGCGAUAAGGUUCGUAGUCGAGAGGGAAACAGCCCAGAACACCAGCUAAGGCCCCUAAGUGUGCGCUAAGUGGGAAAGGAUGUGGGGUCGCCCAGACAACCAGGAGGUUGGCUUAGAAGCAGCCAUCCUUGAAAGAGUGCGUAAUAGCUCACUGGUCAAGUGGUCCUGCGCCGACAAUGUAGCGGGGCUGAAGCGCGCCGCCGAAGCUGUGUCAUUCACACAAUACAUCCGCCCUGUCUCUUUGGGAUGGGGUGCAGUGGUGUGGAUGGGUAGGGGAGCGUCGUGUGGCCUUGGAAGCGGCAGCGUGAGCUAGCCGUGGAGGCCAUGCGAGUGAGAAUGCAGGCAUGAGUAGCGAAAGCAGAGUGAGAAUCUCUGCCGCCGGAUGACCAAGGGUUCCUGGGGCAGGUUCGUCCGCCCAGGGUAAGUCGGGACCUAAGGCGAGGCCGACAGGCGUAGUCGAUGGACAACGGGUUGAUAUUCCCGUACCCGUGUGGACGCGUCCCUGACGAGGCCGUUGAUACUAACCGCCCAAAGCCGCCGCAGCUUUCGGGUUGUGGUGGUGGAGCGCGGGAUCUGAUUCGGUAGUAGUCAAGCGAUGGGGUGACGCAGGAGGGUAGCUCCGCCAGCUGUUGGUGACUGGUGCAAGCGUGUGGCCCGCAGCAUAGGCAAAUCCGUGCUGCAUCAAGGGUGAGGCGUGAUGCGUAGCCGAUUGAGGCGAAGUAGAGUGAUCCCAUGCUGCCGAGAAAAGCCUCUAGCGAGUGUCCGUGCGGCCCGUACCCCAAACCGACACAGGUGGUCAGGUAGAGAAUACCGAGGCGUUCGGGUGAACUGUGGUCAAGGAACUCGGCAAAAUGCCCCCGUAACUUCGGGAGAAGGGGGGCCGGUGUGCUUGAAGCCCUUUGCGGGCUAGGGUGUGCCGGCCGCAGAGACCAGCGAGAAGCGACUGUUUACUAAAAACACAGGUCCGUGCGAAGUCGUAAGACGAUGUAUACGGACUGACUCCUGCCCGGUGCUGGAACGUUAAGAGGACCGGUUAGCCCGUAAGGGCGAAGCUGAGAAUUUAAGCGCCAGUAAACGGCGGUGGUAACUAUAACCAUCCUAAGGUAGCGAAAUUCCUUGUCGGGUAAGUUCCGACCUGCACGAAUGGAGUAACGACUUCUCGGCUGUCUCGACCACAGGCCCGGUGAAAUUGCACUACGAGUAAAGAUGCUCGUUACGCGCGGCAGGACGGAAAGACCCCGGGACCUUUACUAUAGCUUGGUAUUGGUGCUUGGUUCGGUUUGUGUAGGAUAGGUGGGAGACUGGGAAGCGCUCACGCCAGUGGGUGUGGAGUCGUCGUUGAAAUACCACUCUGAUCGUACUGAGCAUCUCAACCUCGGACCGUGAUCCGGUUCAGGGACAGUGCCUGGUGGGUAGUUUAACUGGGGCGGUUGCCUCCCAAAGGGUAACGGAGGCGCCCAAAGGUUCCCUCAGCCUGGUUGGCAAUCAGGUGUUGAGUGCAAGUGCACAAGGGGGCUUGACUGUGAGACUGACGGGUCGAGCAGGGACGAAAGUCGGGACUAGUGAUCCGGCGCUGGCUGGUGGAAGCGGCGUCGCUCAACGGAUAAAAGGUACCCCGGGGAUAACAGGCUGAUCUUGCCCAAGAGUCCAUAUCGACGGCAUGGUUUGGCACCUCGAUGUCGGCUCGUCGCAUCCUGGGGCUGGAGUAGGUCCCAAGGGUUGGGCUGUUCGCCCAUUAAAGCGGUACGCGAGCUGGGUUUAGAACGUCGUGAGACAGUUCGGUCCCUAUCCGCCGCGCGCGUUGGAGACUUGAGGAAGGCUGUCCCUAGUACGAGAGGACCGGGACGGACGAACCUCUGGUGUGCCAGUUGUCCCGCCAGGGGCAUGGCUGGUUGGCUACGUUCGGAAGGGAUAACCGCUGAAGGCAUCUAAGCGGGAAGCCUGUUCCAAGAUGAGGUCUCCCACCCCUUUGAGGGUUAAGGUCCCCAGUAGACGACUGGGUUGAUAGGCCGGAGAUGGAAGCACUGUGAGGUGUGGAGUUGACCGGUACUAAUAGGCCGAGGGCUUGCCACG
rnacentral:rRNA from 1 species